rnacentral:rRNA from 1 species
UACGUAGGGUGCAAGCGUUGUCCGGAAUUAUUGGGCGUAAAGAGCUCGUAGGCGGUCAGUUGCGUCUGCUGUGAAAACUCGGGGCUUAACUCCGGGCCUGCAGUGGGUACGGGCUGACUAGAGUGCGGUAGGGGAGACUGGAAUUCCGGGUGUAGUGGUGAAAUGCGUAGAGAUCCGGAGGAACCCCAGAGGCGAAGGCGGCGCUCUGGCUCGCAACUGACGCUCAGACACGACAGCAUGGGGAGCGAACGGG